GACGAACGCUGGCGGCGUGCUUAACACAUGCAAGUCGAACGGAAAGGCCCUGCUUUUGUGGGGUGCUCGAGUGGCGAACGGGUGAGUAACACGUGAGUAACCUGCCCUUGACUUUGGGAUAACUUCAGGAAACUGGGGCUAAUACCGGAUAGGAGCUCCUGCUGCAUGGUGGGGGUUGAAAGGUUCGGCGGUUGGGGAUGGACUUGCGGCUUAUCAGCUUGUUGGUGGGGUAGUGGCUUACCAAGGCUUUGACGGGUAGCCGGCCUGAGAGGGUGACCGGCCACAUUGGGACUGAGAUACGGCCCAGACUCCUACGGGAGGCAGCAGUGGGGAAUAUUGCACAAUGGGCGGAAGCCUGAUGCAGCAACGCCGCGUGCGGGAUGACGGCCUUCGGGUUGUAAACCGCUUUCGCCUGUGACGAAGCGUGAGUGACGGUAAUGGGUAAAGAAGCACCGGCUAACUACGUG
rnacentral:rRNA from 1 species